GCAGUCGAGCGCAGGAAGCUGACGGAACUCUUCGGAGGGAAGGCAGUGGAAUGAGCGGCGGACGGGUGAGUAACACGUAAGGAACCUGCCUCGAGGAUUGGGAUAACUCCGAGAAAUCGGAGCUAAUACCGGAUAGUUCAACGGACCGCAUGGUCCGCUGAUGAAAGGCGCUUCGGCGUCACCUUGAGAUGGCCUUGCGGUGCAUUAGCUAGUUGGUGGGGUAACGGCCCACCAAGGCGACGAUGCAUAGCCGACCUGAGAGGGUGAUCGGCCACACUGGGACUGAGACACGGCCCAGACUCCUACGGGAGGCAGCAGUAGGGAAUCUUCCACAAUGGACGAAAGUCUGAUGGAGCAACGCCGCGUGAGUGAUGAAGGUUUUCGGAUCGUAAAACUCUGUUGUAAGGGAAGAACACGUACGAGAGGUAAUGCUCGUACCUUGACGGUACCUUACGAGAAAGCCACGGCUAACUACGUGCCAGCAGCCGCGGUAAUACGUAGGUGGCAAGCGUUGUCCGGAAUUAUUGGGCGUAAAGCGCGCGCAGGCGGCCUUUUAAGUCUGAUGUGAAAGCCCCCGGCUCAACCGGGGAGGGCCAUUGGAAACUGGAAGGCUUGAGUACAGAAGAGAAGAGUGGAAUUCCACGUGUAGCGGUGAAAUGCGUAGAGAUGUGGAGGAACACCAGUGGCGAAGGCGACUCUUUGGUCUGUAACUGACGCUGAGGCGCGAAAGCGUGGGGAGCAAACAGGAUUAGAUACCCUGGUAGUCCACGCCGUAAACGAUGAGUGCUAGGUGUUGGGGGGUUUCCGCCCCUCAGUGCUGAAGCUAACGCAUUAAGCACUCCGCCUG
rnacentral:rRNA from 1 species